rnacentral:rRNA from 1 species
GUCUCUUAAUUGGAGUCUGGUAUGAAUGGUUGGAUGAAAAAUUUACUUUCUUUAUUUUAAAUAUAAAAUUUAAUUUUUAAGUUAAAAAGCUUAAAUUUUUAUAUAGGACGAGAAGACCCUAUAGAACUUUAUUUUUUAUUAAAAAUAUAUUAUUUUGAAAAUGAUUUUUAUUUUUUUAUUUGAAAUUAUAUUGGGGUGAUAAAAAAAAUUUAAUAACUUUUUUUAUUUUUUUCAUUUAUAUAUGAUAUUUUGAUCCUAUAAUAUGGAAAUAAGAUUAAGUUACCUUAGGGAUAACAGCGUUAUUACUUUGGAGAGUUCAAAUCUAUAAAGUAGUUUGCGACCUCGAUGUUGGAUUAAAAUUAGUUUCAGGGGCAAAAUAUUGAUUACUAGGUCUGUUCGACCUUUAAAAUUUUACA